CUCAAAUAUUAGCAGCCCACACAUGAGGGAGUUUUAGGAAAAUUCUCAAAUAUUAGCAACCCAAUUUAAAACCAAGAACUAAAACAAGUUGACGAACAAAAGGACGGGUGUGUUUGGAAUUAUAAGUAGUCGAGAUGGUUUAAUGUGUUUAUUUAUUUAGAAAUAUAUUAAAAUAUUUUUUUUUUUUUUAAAAAAAUUAUUUUUUAUAUUAACUAUGAAAAUAUAAUUUUUUUUUAAUUUUAAAUAAAAAAAUUUCAAAAUUUACGGUGGAAACACACCGGAAGACGAAGAAGAGUUGCAUCAGCUGCUUUUACCUGACAUUUGUGAUCUUUCUAUCACUCCUCCAUCUUCUGUUCAAACCAAUUUCGUCUCCUACUUCGUUCCAGGUUUCUGCUUUCUUUUUCUUUUUCUUUUUGCUUGAUUGAUGAUGCUUAACAAAGCAAAUACUGUUCUUAAUUUGUUGAAUUUUGGAUCAGAUUUUGUGAAGCUAGGACACGACCAGUACGUUUAUAGACAUGCCAUUGGGUUGUGUGUUUGGCUCCGACCCAUGUGGCUUUUACGGACGCAGGAGGAAUCACGGCUGUUGAUUUCAAUGUUGGAAAGUCUGAUCGUAGUGGCAUUAAGGUCACUGGAAAGCGAAAAAAAGCCCAUUCUUUGUUGGUUUUAGCCUUUUUUAUUGUAUAACAAUUAAGCAAUUUUCCUUAGAAUUGAGCAGGUGGUGUGAAGAAAUUGGCAAUAGCUAGACAAUUAAAAGUUCUAUGAUUAGUAGCUUGGUUGGUUUCUUAUAAGCUAGCUUUUGAGUUGGUGGGGAUAAUUGAAUUUACAUUACUAACAUGGUUGCAAGCAUCAAGCUUUGUAUGUUAGGGCUUUCAGGACAUUUUAGUUGCUUAGUGAUCAAGGGUGGAAGUUCACCAUCUAAUUUGGCUUUAUCUGAGUCAUAUACUGGAACAAUCAGAGGAUCAGUUUGAAAAAUCAGUUGGAUUCCACUUCUUUUAGUGGCAUUGUUUCUUUUUGUGCACAUUGGUUUUGUGGCUUUCAUAUCAUCGGAAGCACAAUUGGCCAGUUUAACAUAACUGGACUAUGAAAUCUGAGCUGAUUGCAUUGAGAGGUAACUUUGACUGCUUCGGAGGGCAAGGAUUUCUACAGAUUAGUCAGAUUUCUGUUUUGUAAUGAUGCAUUUAGGAUCAGGAGUUGAUUUGUUUUCUUAUGUUCUCAUUUAGCCAACUUUUACUAACAAUAGAGAGCAUCUUUUGCAGAAUGCACAACACUUUGAGUCUGACACUGCUCCGUGUAAAGUUUGCACCCAGAGCGAUUCUUAUAUUGUCAGAUGUUGUGUUAAAGGCUCUCUGUUGGAAGUGAAUGACAGACUAAUCAAACAUUCAAAAUUUGCUGAACUCUUCAACAGGGAAGGGUACAUUGCCAUUAUCAUGCCCAAGCCAGCAGAUUGGCUGAAGGUCAAAGCUUCAUUGUUGGGCCUUGAAGAAUACAAGAAACUGAGAGAAAAUAGCUGAGCUAUUUGGGAUGCUUGGAAAAGUUUUAUAGACUUCGAGAAUAACAAGGAAUUCAAGCUUCAUUUGGAAUUCCUCCAGCCACCAAUUCUUUGAUGGGCCUCACCCCCAGGUAAGCUCAGCGUAGGGAGAAGCAAUUUCUAUCUGGAGCCUGUAUUGUAACACCAAAGAUCACCUCCUACCACUAUCUCUCCAAAUAUUUUCAUCAUCCUUGUAGAUGUGUUGCUCGAGUUCUUCUAGCUGCUCCAGAUAGCACAAGUCGUGAGUGUGAAAUUCUUUCACGACCUCUUUCAACAGUUCAGGUUUUUUAUUCCUUACACACAUAUCAGCAAGAGCUUUACGGCGUUCUACCUCAUCGAAUAACCUCCUCACGAGUCUACUCAUGGUAUCAAAAUCUUUGAUCAAUAUGUAAGUUCCUUUGGCUGCAAGAUCUAGUUGUGCACCAAGUCUUUUUUCAAGCAAGCUUGUCUCAAGCCCCCGAUGAACCAACUUGAUUUGCUUUCUGAAUACAUACAACGAGCAACCCAUUAUUCCUGGUGCAGCCACAAUGCCAACUAUGCCAUGGGUUGCAAUUACAAGCAAGGCAAUUAGAAGUGCAGUAUGUGAUAUGACAAGACACCCUCCUGCAACCUUCAUGCAUAUCCUUCUGAACUUUGCUUUCCUCAUAAUCUUUCUCUGUUCUGAAUUCAAUCCGUGGAGCAACACCAAGUUGUUAUCAUGAAAAUCAUUGAAUUUUACAGUGGUAGAAAACAUCGAUAAUGGAUUUUCAAGCAAUGCAUACGCAGCAAGCUCUCUAAACAUUGCGAUGCAAAUCUUAUCUGAAUAAUCUGCAGAAUCUUGCACCCUUUUGCUUAACUU